AUACGGAGGCGGCUAGUGUUGUUCGGAAUUACUGGGCGUAAAGCGCGUGUAGGCGGAUCGUUAAGUCAGGGGUGAAAGCCCGGGGCUCAACCCCGGAACUGCCCUUGAUACUGGCGAUCUAGAGUCCGGAAGAGGUGGGCGGAAUUCCCGGUGUAGAGGUGAAAUUCGUAGAUAUCGGGAGGAACACCAGUGGCGAAGGCGGCUCACUGGUCCGGCACUGACGCUGAGACGCGAAAGCGUGGGGAGCAAACAGGAUUAGAAACCCUAGUAGUCC
rnacentral:rRNA from 1 species